rnacentral:rRNA from 1 species
GAUGAGCCCGCGUUGGAUUAGCUAGUUGGUGGGGUAAAGGCCUACCAAGGCGACGAUCCAUAGCUGGUCAGAGAGGAUGAUCAGCCACAUUGGGACUGAGACACGGCCCAAACUCCUACGGGAGGCAGCAGUGGGGAAUAUUGGACAAUGGGCGCAAGCCUGAUCCAGCCAUGCCGCGUGAGUGAUGAAGGUCUUAGGAUUGUAAAGCUCUUUCACCGGGGACGAUAAUGACGGUACCCGGAGAAGAAGCCCCGGCUAACUUCGUGCCAGCAGCCGCGGUAAUACGAAGGGGGCUAGCGUUGUUCGGAAUUACUGGGCGUAAAGCGCACGUAGGCGGAUAUUUAAGUCAGGGGUGAAAUCCCGGGGCUCAACCCCGGAACUGCCUUUGAUACUGGGUAUCUUGAGUGUGGUAGAGGUGAGUGGAAUUGCGAGUGUAGAGGUGAAAUUCGUAGAUAUUCGCAGGAACACCAGUGGCGAAGGCGGCUCACUGGACCACAACUGACGCUGAGGUGCGGAAGCGUGGGGAGCAAACAGGAUUAGAUACCCUGGUAGUCCACGCC